UGGUCCUGCGUGGGGGGGGUCCGUGUGCGCCCCGGUCCCUGGCCCUGCAUGGGGGCGUGUGCACCCCGGUCCCUGGCCCUGCAUGGGGCGUGUGCGCCCCCAGUCCCUAGCCCCUGUGGCUGGACACCGGUUUUCCCCGCUGGGGGUCACAGGGCCUCGAGGGCCUGAGGUUUUCCAGAAGCUGCCCCUGGCCCUGCCCCCUCUGAGCUGCCGGCCGCUCCAGGCGGUGCCACGAGAGGGAGCGCGCCUGCCUCGGCUUCCAGAAGGGACGGGAGUGGCAGCACGGGGAAGCCCCGGGGCCCGGCUGCAGCCUCCUGCUCCGCGCCCCCCGGCGCUUCCCGUCCCACCACGUCCCCCGAGGGGGCCGAGCCCACCUGCCGCUGAAGCACUCGUCCGUCUCCAGGAAGCAGCCCCGAUAUCGCCGUGCUGACGCUGACGCUGUUUCCCGUCCGCCUGCUGCUGGCCACCUGCAUGAUGCUGCUCGCCUGGCCCCUGGCCUUCGCCGCCUCGCUGGGCUGUGCCGAC
rnacentral:lncRNA from 1 species